AGAGUUUGAUCCUGGCUCAGAAUGAACGUUGGCGGCGUGGAUUAGGCAUGCAAGUCGCGCGCCUCGCAAGGGGAGCGGCGCAAGGGUGAGUAAUGCGACGGUAACCAACCCCACAAAUGGGCAUAGCCGCGGGAAACUGCGGGUAAUUCCCAGCGAUGUUAGAGGAGGGCAUCCUUCUUUAACCAAAGUUCCGGCGUUGUGGGACGGGCCGUUGUGGUAUUAGCUAGUUGGUGGGGUGAUGGCCCACCAAGGCUACGAUGCCUACCGGGCGUGCGAGCGUGGCCCGGCACACUGGAACUGAGACACUGUCCAGACUCCUACGGGAGGCUGCAGUCGAGAAUCUUCGGCAAUGGGCGCAAGCCUGACCGAGCGACGCCGCGUGGAGGACGAAGGCCUUCGGGUUGUAAACUCCUGUCGAGGGGGAGGAAGUCGCAAGAUUGACCGAUCCCUGGAGGAAGCACGGGCUAAGUUCGUGCCAGCAGCCGCGGUAAGACGAACCGUGCGAACGUUAUUCGGAAUCACUGGGCUUAAAGCGCGUGUAGGUGGGUUGCCACGUCGGCUGCUGAAAUCCCUCGGCUCAACCGAGGAACGGGCACCGAUACGAGCGACCUGGAGGGGGGUAGGGGGAGCUGGAACUUCCGGUGGAGCGGUGAAAUGCGUUGAGAUCGGAAGGAACGCCCGUGGCGAAAGCGAGCUCCUGGACCUUUUCUGACACUGAGACGCGAAAGCUAGGGGAGCGAACGGGAUUAGAUACCCCGGUAGUCCUAGCCGUAAACGAUGGGCACUGGGUAGGGGGCUCGCCGAUGGGCUCUCUGCCGCAGGAAACCGUGAAGUGCCCCGCCUGGGGAGUAUGGUCGCAG
rnacentral:rRNA from 1 species